rnacentral:rRNA from 1 species
CCGUAACUAUAACGGUCCUAAGGUAGCGAAAUUCCUUGUCGGGUAAGUUCCGACCUGCACGAAUGGCGUAAUGAUGGCCACGCUGUCUCCACCCGAGACUCAGUGAAAUUGAAAUCGCUGUGAAGAUGCAGUGUACCCGCGGCUAGACGGAAAGACCCCGUGAACCUUUACUACAGCUUGGCACUGAACAUUGACCCUACAUGUGUAGGAUAGGUGGGAGGCUUUGAAGCACGUACGCCAGUAUGUGUGGAGCCGUCCUUGAAAUACCACCCUUGUAGUGUUGAUGUUCUAACGUCGACCCCUAAUCGGGGUUGCGGACAGUGCCUGGUGGGUAGUUUGACUGGGGCGGUCUCCUCCCAAAGAGUAACGGAGGAGCACGAAGGUGGGCUAAUCACGGUUGGACAUCGUGAGGUUAGUGCAAUGGCAUAAGCCCGCUUGACUGCGAGAAUGACAAUUCGAGCAGGUGCGAAAGCAGGUCAUAGUGAUCCGGUGGUUCUG